CCUGUCCCUAGAAGCAUUGUAGGCGUGGCUGCUGUGUCACAUGUACAUCAGUAGGUGGCAGAAAGAAGAGGCUGACUCAGUGUACUGACCUAUGAACAUCAGAAGGAUGUUCUCUGAAAAA
rnacentral:snoRNA from 1 species